GUUGGGCAACGGUGACCAUAAAGCAUUUAAGGAUAAAAGCUAUUAUGAACUAAAAGAAGAUUAUGCCAUAGCACGUACCUAUCGUUGUGUGGCCAAUAAUACAGCGGGUGCUGGUACAUUCUGUGAAAUCGAAGUUGCCGUGCGCCUUAGAAAACAACUUGCAUGGUGGCAGCGUUGGGAUACAACAACAUUAAUCAUUCUGGUGGCCAGUAUAUUGGUUCUACUGUUGGCUGUCAUUAUUAUUUGUUGUAUUAUUAUUUGCAUUUGUCGUCGUCGUAGACGUCAGGAUAAAUUUUACUACUCCUACGACUCCUACAAAUUUUAAUAACAACACAAAUGUGGUGCGCAGUGUACCACGACCCAAGAGACUCAAUGGAAAUAUCAGCCAAAAUACAGGAACAGCAGCAACAACAAUACAAGCAAAC
rnacentral:misc_RNA from 1 species